AGUGAACGCUGGCGGUAGGCCUAACACAUGCAAGUCGAACGGCAGCACAGUAAGAGCUUGCUCUUACGGGUGGCGAGUGGCGGACGGGUGAGGAAUACAUCGGAAUCUACUUUUUCGUGGGGGAUAACGUAGGGAAACUUACGCUAAUACCGCAUACGACCUACGGGUGAAAGCAGGGGAUCGUCGGACCUUGCGCGAUUGAAUGAGCCGAUGUCGGAUUAGCUAGUUGGCGGGGUAAAGGCCCACCAAGGCGACGAUCCGUAGCUGGUCUGUGAGGAUGAUCAGCCACACUGGAACUGGGACACGGUCCAGAGUCCUACGGGAGGCAGCAGUGGGGAAUAUUGGACAGUGGGCGCAAGCCUGAUCCAGCCAUACCGCGUGGGUGAAGAAGGCCUUCGGGUUGUAAAGCCCUUUUGUUGGGAAAGAAAAGCAGCAGGUUAAUACCCCGCUGUUCUGAGGGUACCCAAAGAAUAAGCACCGGCUAACUUCGUG
rnacentral:rRNA from 1 species